CCUACGGGAGGCAGCAGCAAGGAAUUUUCCGCAAUGGGCGAAAGCCUGACGGAGCAACGCCGCGUGGGGGAUGAAGGCCUUCGGGUUGUAAACUCCUUUUGCGAGGGAAGAAGAUCUGACGGUACCUCGCGAAUAAGCCACGGCUAACUACGUGCCAGCAGCCGCGGUAAUACGUAGGUGGCAAGCGUUGUCCGGAUUUACUGGGCGUAAAGCGCGCGCAGGCGGAUUGGUCAGUCUAGGGUGAAAUCUCCUGGCUUAACUAGGAGAGGUCCCUGGAUACUACCAGUCUUGAGGGGCUCAGAGGAGAGUGGAAUUCCCGGUGUAGUGGUGGAAUGCGUAGAUAUCGGGAGGAACACCAGUGGCGAAAGCGACUCUCUGGGGGCUACCUGACGCUGAGGCGCGAAAGCGUGGGGAGCAAACCGGAUUAGAUACCCGGGUAGUCCACGCCGUAAACGAUGAGCACUAGCUGUCGGGUAGUACGUACCCGUCCGUACGUCGCGACGCUACGACGACGUAGUAGUCUCCGUCCGUCGGGUACGGUACGGUCCGGCCGACGACGUAAACCGUAACAACGAAGUAGUACGGACGUCGAGACGACGCGACGACGACGACGACGGACGGAGGAG
rnacentral:rRNA from 1 species